rnacentral:rRNA from 1 species
AGCGAACGUUAGCGGCGCGCCUAACACAUGCAAGUCGAACGCGAAAGGGGUUCGCCCCCGGUAGCGUGGCGCACGGGUGAGUAACACGUGGAUGACCUCCCCAACCGUGGUGGAUAACCUGCCGAAAGGCGGGCUAAUACAGCAUACGUACAGCAGACUGCGGUCUGUUGUGGAAAGCAGGCCUCUGUUUACAAGCUUGCGCGGUUUGAGGGGUCCGCGGCCCAGCAGCUAGUUGGUAGGGUAACGGCCUACCAAGGCGAAGACGGGUAGCUGGUCUGAGAGGAUGACCAGCCACACUGGAACUGAGACACGGUCCAGACUCCUACGGGAGGCAGCAGUGGGGAGUCUUGCGCAAUGGACGAAAGUCUGACGCAGCGACGCCGCGUGGGCGACGAAGGCCUUCGGGUUGUAAAGCCCUGUGGGGCGGGACGAAAGCUCUGGUGGCUAACAUCCACUGGAAGUAACGGUACCGCUUUAGCAAGCACCGGCUAACUCUGUGCCAGCAGCCGGCCGUAACAC